rnacentral:lncRNA from 1 species
AGCUUCUGUCCAUGUUUGGUAGAAAUCCAAUGUAAUUUAAGAAAGUUAUAUGAAUUUUAAACACAUCAUUGCCUCAGUAAAUUGAAACCUCAGUUUCUUUUUCAUAAUUUAUUAACCAACAUUUUUUUUUUACAAAACCUGUCAGUAUUUCGCUGAAGAUACCAUUAGGCUCUGAUAGUCCACCAACUGAGCUGUAACCAAUGAAAGAAAAAUACGUGACAAAAUGUGACCUCCAAGAUUAGCACUUCUUCAGUUCUGGCCUAUCCUUAUACAUUUUAUAUACCAAGUUAGGACCUUAUUCUAAUAAUAUAAUACGUCCACACGUCAACACAACUAGAAGUGAUAUUUCCAGUCCACAUACAUAUUAAUAUUAAAAUACGACCAUGCGUCGACAAACAUGUUAAAUUGGUAUGUCCUCUCAUUAUGCAUGUUAUAUUACGCGUUAGGGCCUUGUCCAAAUUAUAAUGAAGUCAUGUUCAUUUGUUUUUAAAGAAAUCAAUUACAAAUACCUUGACGUUUGUUCAUUAGUUAACUACUACAAUAUCAAUUUGCCUUUAGCUACAUUUCUGAUCUGAUACACCUUGUUGAUAUAACUU